CCUACGGGAGGCUGCAGUAGGGAAUCUUUCACAAUGGGCGAAAGCCUGAUGGAGCAACGCCGCGUGCAGGCUGAAGGCCUUCGGGUUGUAAACUGCUUUUAUAAGCGAGAAAUAUGAUGGUAACUUAUGAAUAAGGAUCGGCUAACUACGUGCCAGCAGCCGCGGUCAUACGUAGGAUCCGAGCAUUAUCCGGAGUGACUGGGUGUAAAGAGUUGCGUAGGUGGCAUAAUAAGUAGCUAGUGAAAUCUGGUGGCUCAACCAUUCAGACUAUUAGCUAAACUGUUAAGCUCGAGACCGUUAGGGGUAACGGGAAUUUCUAGUGUAGGAGUGAAAUCCGUAGAUAUUAGAAGGAACACCAAUAGCGUAGGCAGGUUGCUGGGACGGUUCUGACACUAAGGCACGAAAGCGUAGGGAGCAAACGGGAUUAGAUACCCCUGUAGUC
rnacentral:rRNA from 1 species